CGUCUAUUUCGGCCUACCUUGUCUUUUUUGAUGGACGUAAGCUAAAAAAGUAAUUGGCACUUUCCUGAAGCUAUGAUAUAGAAAAUGAGGAUAAUUAGGUACACAUUAAGUCGUCAAAUUUCUGUAGCUUGAUCUGCGGCCCCCGCUUUCCCCCAGCUGUCAUUUCUUUAGAUGGGUGCAAACGUUUGGUCCUCUAUAAAAGGCGCACCGCGGUUCUUCUUCGUUCAGAACAGCGCUCCGUUGCUGACUUCACUGUGCUCCUUCACGGAAAAAAAUAAACGUCGAGACCAUGGACGCCUUUCUUGGAAAGUACUUCCUUGUGGUGAUGGCGGUCUUAAUGGCUGCGCUUAUCAUGGCCCCCAACGAAGCUGAAGGAUUUGGUCCAGCCCUUGACAGUGCCAUUAAGGACGCCAUAGGAAGAUCUGAGGAAAUCAGCAAGAAGUGAGAAGGCCCGCCUCGGUUACACAGUGUAGUCAAUGUGUAGGGCAUUUACGACGCUUCCGUGAAGUUAAAUAAAAUGAAUGAAA